AAGUCGUAACAAGGUCUCCGUAGGUGAACCUGCGGAGGGAUCAUUAACGAAUGGUCUCCGUACCUUCAAACCCUUCAAACCUGUGGACAUUUGAAAAUGUGCUUCGGCGCUGUUGCGCCGCCUUUAUGCUGUUAACCUGUCAUUUGUGUCUGAAUGUAAAUCAAAAAGAAUCAAAACUUUCAACAAAGGAUCUCUUGGCUCUC
rnacentral:misc_RNA from 1 species